rnacentral:rRNA from 1 species
UACAGAGGCCUCGAGCGUUAGGCGGAAUCACUGGGCUUAAAGCGUGUGUAGGCGGACUUCUAAGUGCCUUGUGAAAUCCCACGGCUCACCCGUGGAACUGCUGGGCAUACUGGGAGUCUUGAGCCACCUAGGGGCGAGCGGAACAAAUGGUGGAGCGGUGAAAUGCGUAGAUAUCAUUUUGAACGCCAACGGAGAAAUCAGCUCGCUGGGGGUGUGCUGACGCUGAGACACGAAAGCCAGGGGAGCGAACGGG